rnacentral:rRNA from 1 species
UACGGGGGGAGCAAGCGUUGUCCGGAAUCAUUGGGCGUAAAGAGCGUGUAGGCGGCUCGAUAAGUCUGCUGUGAAAGUCCAGGGCUCAACCCUGGAAGGCCGGUGGAAACUGUCGGGCUAGAGUCCGGAAGAGGCGAGUGGAAUUCCCGGUGUAGCGGUGAAAUGCGCAGAUAUCGGGAGGAACACCAAUGGCGAAGGCAGCUCGCUGGGACGGUACUGACGCUGAGACGCGAAAGCGUGGGGAGCAACAGG